rnacentral:ncRNA from 1 species
CAACUUGAGAGUUUGAUCCUGGCUCAGAGCGAACGCUGGCGGCAGGCCUAACACAUGCAAGUCGAGCGCCCGGGGCAACCCGGGAGCGGCAGACGGGAGAGUAACACGUGGGAACGUACCCUUUGGUUCGGAACAACCCAGGGAAACUUGGGCUAAUACCGGAUAAGCCCUUACGGGGAAAGAUUCAUCGCCGAAGGAUCGGCCCGCGUCUGAUUAGCUAGUUGGUGGGGUAAUGGC